GGUUGAGUGUAUUCGUUAUAAAUACACUUUCAAGAGUUUAGGCUUCUGGGGUGGGAAGUC
rnacentral:ncRNA from 2 species